rnacentral:miRNA from 1 species
AGCUUCUUUACAGUGUUGCC